UCAUUAAUCACAAACCAGGUCGUAAUGACAGUGAGCACUCAUUAAUCACAAACCAGGUCGUAAUGACAGUGAGCACUCAUUAAUCACAAACCAGGUCGUAAUGACAGUGAGCACUCAUUAAUCACAAACCAGGUCGUAAUGACAGUGAGCACUCAUUAAUCACAAACCAGGUCGUAAUGACAGCGAGCACUCAUUAAUCACAAACCAGGUCGUAAUGACAGCGAGCGCUCAUUAAUCACAAACCAGGUCGUAAUGACAGUGAGCGCUCAUUAAUCACAAACCAGGUCGUAAUGACAGCGAGCGCUCAUUAAUCACAAACCAGGUCGUAAUGACAGCGAGCACUCAUUAAUCACAAACCAGGUCGUAAUGACAGUGAGCACUCAUUAAUCACAAACCAGGUCGUAAUGACAGUGAGCACUCAUUAAUCACAAACCAGGUCGUAAUGACAGUGAGCACUCAUUAAUCACAAACCAGGUCGGAAUGACAGUGAGCACUCAUUAAUCACAAACCAGGUCGUAAUGACAGCGAGCACUCAUUAAUCACAAACCAGGUCGUAAUGACAGUGAGCACUCAUUAAUCACAAACCAGGUCGUAAUGACAGUGAGCACUCAUUAAUCACAAACCAGGUCGUAAUGACAGUGAGCACUCAUUAAUCACAAACCAGGUCGUAAUGACAGUGAGCACUCAUUAAUCACAAACCAGGUCGUAAUGACAGUGAGCGCUCAUUAAUCACAAACCAGGUCGUAAUGACAGUGAGCGCUCAUUAAUCACAAACCAGGUCGUAAUGACAGUGAGCGCUCAUUAAUCACAAACCAGGUCGUAAUGACAGUGAGCGCUCAUUAAUCACAAACCAGGUCGUAAUGACAGUGAGCGCUCAUUAAUCACAAACCAGGUCGUAAUGACAGUGAGCACUCAUUAAUCACAAACCAGGUCGUAAUGACAGUGAGCACUCAUUAAUCACAAACCAGGUCGUAAUGACAGUGAGC